UUUCCGUUAUGCUCCACACAAAAUAAAAUCUUUUCUGAAAGAUACUGGUUCUCUAUCUAAACUCCUCGACAACUGGCGCGUUUGCCCUAAGAAAGAGAAAACGCUGGACUCUAGUUUCAGUCCUGCUCCCUCCAGGAGAAACCUCUCCGUUAUCAUUUGCGCACAAUUUCAGUUCUUAUUUGGAUACCUCCUCUCUCUGUCUCUCUCUCUACUAUCUUUACCUUCUCAUUUACUCUUGUGCUUAUCUCUAUUCUCCAUUUACAGUAAACCCUUCCAAAAUAAGAUGAUUCUAUCUCAUCCAUGGCAAACAAAGCGCGCCUGCUGCGAUUUUUCAGGCACCGAUGGCGAGUUACGCACACUAGAAAACCCUAGGGCCUCCAUGUUUUGUUCACCAGAAACCCCUAGAGCUCCGAGCUUCCCCUUUUCUGAGAGCCCUAGGGCCUCGAACUUCUGCUUGUCUGAAAACUCUAGGGCUUCGAGUUUUUGUGUUGUAGAAGAGUCUAGGGUUUUGAGAUCGGGAGUUAUGGAGCAGGUGAUUGAAUCAUUGUUAGGAUUCUCUGAUUCUGAGGCUCUGGACGUGGCUCUUGAGCAAAUGAUGGAUAGAAAAGAAUCGGAGUCUUCAAAGGAUGAAUUUGUUGAGGAGACGCUGCAGCUGAGCUCUCUAUUGAGAGAAUCUGCUGAGAGAUUGGCUCGUAAGCGAGCCUCUUUUCACAAUUCAGUAGUCUGGCCUCUUGGUUCCGAUCUGACUAUCCAAGUCUUCUCAAAGCUGGACACAAGGAGCCUUUGCCAGGCUGGGGCAACUUGUUCAUUGUUUAACAAGUGCUCUGUUGAUCCUUCAUGUUAUGCUGAUCUUGAGUUGACAUCAAGAUCACCAAAGAUCAGCAACGCAACAGUGAAUACAAUGAUCCAGAGGGCAGGAGGAAACCUCCAGUCACUUAGGCUUGGCAUAAUUUCGGAACCUUCUGAGACAGAGCGAUCGUAUGGAUCUGCUGUUGAUUUCACUCAGAGGUCUGUGGAUAGUUUAGAUUCAUGGCAUUCUAGAAGAUCCAUGCAGGGGAGGGAGACCAGUGUCCUGACCAGGACAUGCUUAUCAUCCUUGAGCAUGGAUAAUGGUGCUAUUGGUGCUCUUUUGAAGAGAUUGCACCUUUACAACAUCGAAAGGAUGGACAAUGCUUCAUUCUGUGCAGCAUUAUCUGUUUGUCCGUCCCUCAUUGAUCUCGAAGUCUUGGGCCUGCAUAUUGAGCUCCGACAAGCUCUGAAGACUCUCAGUUCAUCCUGCCGUGGCCUGGAACGUUUAGUCAUUGAAUCAGCUAAAUCAGGAAGGGAUGAAAGUUUGAAAUCCGCAACAUGUGCUGAACUGGUGAAUGGGUGUCCUCUAAUAUCAUCAUUGGCUAUCAGGGCUUUCAAACUCAGUGAUCAGAAAGUCCGUAUACUUUGUAAGGGCUUCCGUAACCUUAGGUUUCUGGACCUGUCAAGCGCCUAUUCAAUUUGUGGCUUAUUUCUAAGGAGCCUAACUGAAACGGAGUCUUUAUUGGAGACUCUGAUUUUACGUGACUGCAUGCAUCUGAAAGAAGUGGAAGUUAACCGUUUCUUAUCAGCAAUUCAUACUGGAGAUUUACAGUUUCUUAGAUUCUUUGAUAUUUCAAAUAAAGAUGGUUUGGCUUCUGAUGAUGAUUGGUACAACCGAUGCUAUACACCAAGCCAGGAGCAUAUAUCACGAGUUCAGUCAGAGAGACCUGAGAUUCGAAUAGUAGCCGACUUUCCUUUGGACAGGAGGUGGCCUUUUGCAGCUUUACCGAACUGGAGCAUAUGAUAGAUAGCGAUAUCAAUAGUGAUGAUAGUGCGGCUCUGCAUAUGAGCGAUAGGGUAUCAUCAUACAGUAUCCCCUUUCCGAGUUCUUCUGAUAGCAGCUACAGCAACGAUCCGGGCAGUGGCAAUGAAGACAGUCAGAAUGCCCACAAUGACCUCUACGAUGAGUUCUCUGAUGGAAACGAUUCUCCUUAUAGAUAUUAGCAAGGUCUUUGGUUCAUUAUUGAUGGAUCUGGGUGAACCAGUGGAAAGAUGGAAUGGUUAUGAAGCCGACGUAUGACAGUAGUUGGUUUUUGAAUGGAAAGGAGUAGCUGCAAAUUUGAUGUUUGCAUGACUAUGGAAACAGCUUUUUUUUGGUAUGCCGUGGGCAUGCACAUCCAUCCAUUAUUGUUAGGGACGGUGGAUAUUGUUGGUGAUUGAGUCAUGAAAUAAGCAAAUGUAAAUAAGUCUCCUCCCAUGAUAUGUUGGGGCCUUCUUAGAUUCUUCAUUUGCAAACAUGGCGGGCUGUAUGUGGCUAUUUUCCAGAUCAACAUUCCUCGUCUUGGGAUGAUAUCAGAAAUCUUAUCAUUUAUUUCAUAAUAUCACGAGAUCUACUUUGCUCUC